rnacentral:rRNA from 1 species
CCUACGGGAGGCAGCAGUGAGGAAUAUUGGUCAAUGGACGAGAGGCUGAACCAGCCAAGUAGCGUGAAGGAUGACUGCCCUACGGGUUGUAAACCUCUUUUAUAAAGGAAUAAAACGAGGCACGUGUGCCUUUUUGCAUGUACUUUAUGAAUAAGGAUCGGCUAACUCCGUGCCAGCAGCCGCGGUAAUACGGAGGAUUCGAGCGUUAUCCGGAUUUAUUGGGGUUAAAGGGUUCGUAGAUGGGAUGUGAAGUCAGUUGUGAAAAUUCGCGGGUCAACCGUAAAAUUGCAAUUGAUACUGGCACUCUUGAGUACAGUAGAGGUAGGCGGAAUGCGUGGUGUAGCGGUGAAAUGCUUAGAUAUCACGAAGAACCCCGAUUGCGAAGGCAGCUUACUAGAGUGUAACUGACAUUGAUGCACGAAAGUGUGGGUAUCGAACAGGAUUAGAUACCCCUGUAGUC